CAUCGUGGGGUGUGUUUCAGCGUCGCUUGCUCCGACUUUAGAACAACAUUGGCGGAGAGACGCGACAACGUAUUUUGCAACGAAUUUGUCAUUAAAUUAAACAAACAUUAGCUAACGUCAGAGGUGUGAUCUUAAUUAAUAUUUCAACGAUAAAUAUAAAUCAGCUCAACACGGCUUUGAAGAAUACUAUUAAUUAAAAUCGAAGCGCUUUUCAAUAAAUAUCAAAAUGAAGUUCACGCUGCUGGCAGCCAAAGGUGUUCUGCUGACUGUACUCUGCUGCAGCUCUGUGCUCAGCGCCGCUACCACAGUGCGCCCAUAUAAGUUUGGAUUCACCGUCGAGGAGCAGCAGCAUCGCCAAGAGUCGAGAGAUGAACGCGGUAUUGUUACUGGCGAAUUUGGUUUCAUAACCGCCGAUGGCAAAUAUCACGUCACUGUCUAUGCAACAGAUGAGAAUGGCAAGUUUCGCAUAGUGUCCAUGAAGAGUUUUCCCUAUGCGGGCCCAAUAUCACCAAAUGCCGUGCCCGCAGCUACGGCAUUGACAACUACGAGUUCCAAGCCGCCUGCUGAGCCGACUAAGCAUAGCUUCUACUCAGAGGGUUGCGCAGGUUGCUUCCUGAAACAGUCGACACCAGCACCACCAGCACAAGCAGUGCCAGCAACUUCAUCUUCCACACUUGGCGCAUUUGCUUCUCCAGCAGUUUUAGUGGCUUCGUCACCUUCGCUGGCAGCAGGACAUGCUAAGUCACCUUCUGGAAAUCGCGGCACCAAAACUGAAAUACGCCCUCUCUCUUUGCCGCUGACGCCAACGGCAGCUGAUGCGCCAGACAAUCUAGAUGCAGACAGCACAAGCCAAAGGUUCACCACUCUAUACGACCUACAGCAACAUACCCAAACACAGUUACAAGCACAACAAUCACAUCACGCCACACCUACACAAGAGUUUAGCUUCCACACGAAUACAAUCGACAAAGCCAACGAGCCUGCGACUCUCUUGCAUGUCAAGCAGUCUGCCCUAAAUUUAUUGGCUGGCUUGGAAAGAGUUCCUCCGGCUAUUGCAGGACACAAGAACUUUAACGAUUUUGCCACACCAGUAAAAUCCUCUUCGACGAAUCUGCCAGUUCAUUCAAAUAAGUUGCAGUUAUCAGCGCAAGAUAUACAAACAGCUUUAGCUGGUUCUACACAAGUUCUCACGCCAGAACAAGUUUUUGCAAGCACAAACAAAGCUUCAGCAGGUCCGGGAGUGACACAGAUAAAUCACAUCCAUGCAUCCGCAAACGGCGAGUCUAUCAACUACCAGCCAAGUCUGCAAGGAGUUUUAUCUACCGCUCAAGGAUUCUCGAAUCCAAACAAAGGCCUUAAUAGACAGCCAAGCCUGCAGGGUGUUCCACAGGGAUCCAUAAAUAAGGAUUAUGCAAACAACAAACUAUCUCUACAAGGAUCUCCAUCUGCCACGCAAGGACUCCUGCACUUGAACAACGAUCUCGACAAAAUGCAACCAUCAACUCAACAAGACUCUACAGAUUUAAAUUAUGAUUUGAAUAACUUACAACCAACUUCGCAAGGAGUUGCCCCGCCCAGAGGACAUGUUAAGCAUACGCAGUCAACCUUUACAAAUCCUCAACCCCAAACUACAAACCCACACAAACCAUUUGCUGGUACUCCAAUAAAAGCUGACAAGCUCAAUCUCAGCAAACUAACUGCUCAAUCCAUUGGGUUGCCCAAUUUGCCAAUAGAUCAUGCCAAUAAUUUGCUAGCUGCUCAACAAAAUCCAUCCUUUGUCUACAGCAACAAGCCCACACCAAACAUUUGCUGCUACACCAAUAACAGCCAACAAGCUUAAUCUCAGACCAUUUUCUCAAACUAACAGGGAUGUUGUAAACUCUAUGAGUAAUAUUGUACUGCCUGUUUCAAAUAAGCUGCAGAAUAUUAUCACUCAACAUAAACAUAUACCCCAGGCGCAAAUUGAAGCUCAAGUCCAAGCUAGCAACGAUGUUCUCCACUCUAUGAACAAUAUUGUGCUGCCCGUUACACAUAAAAUUGGCAAUGCUAUACUACAACCACACAGACACCCUACACAAAUACAUGCACACCACAACAUAAACACUCAAAGGCCAAGUCACUCUGUUGUAGGCACAAAGCCUGGACAGGCACCAAAUUCACCAGAUCACACGAAGUCUGGACAUGCAUCAAAUUCACCAGGUGAUA